rnacentral:rRNA from 1 species
UACAGGGGGGGCAAGCGUUGUUCGGAAUUACUGGGCGUAAAGGGCUCGUAGGUGGCCAACUAAGUCAGACGUGAAAUCCCUCAGCUUAACUGGGGAACUGCGUCUGAUACUGGAUGGCUUGAGUUUGGGAGAGGGAUGCGGAAUUCCAGGUGUAGCGGUGAAAUGCGUAGAGAUCCGGAAGAACACCGGAGGCGAAGGCGGCUUGCUGGGCUCGGUCUGACGCUGAGGCGCGAAAGCGUGGGGAGCGAACAGG